UUAAAUGAUGAGCUUGACCACUUAUGAAGCUAGAUGAUAUAAUAAAGGUAGCCGCUGAG
rnacentral:ncRNA from 15 species